rnacentral:rRNA from 1 species
AGCGGCGGACGGGUGAGUAAAGCGUGGGUAACCUGCCCUAUACACACGGAUAACAUACCGAAAGGUAUGCUAAUACGAGAUAAUAUAAGAGAUUCGCAUGGAUUUCUUAUCAAAGCUGAGGCGGUAUAGGAUGGACCCGCGUCUGAUUAGCUAGUUGGUAAGGUAACGGCUUACCAAGGCGACGAUCAGUAGCCGACCUGAGAGGGUGAUCGGCCACAUUGGAACUGAGACACGGACCAAACUCCUACGGGAGGCAGCAGUGGGGAAUAUUGCACAAUGGGCGAAAGCCUGAUGCAGCAACGCCGCGUGAGUGAUGAAGGCCUUCGGGUCGUAAAACUCUGUCCUCAAGGAAGAUAAUGACGGUACUUGAGGAGGAAGCCCCGGCUAACUACGUGUCAGCAGCCGCGGUAAUACGUAGGGGGCUAGCGUUAUCCGGAUUUACUGGGCGUAAAGGGUGCGUAGGUGGUCUCUUAAGUCAGGAGUGAAAGGCUACGGCUUAACCGUAGCAAGCUCUUGAAACUGGGAGACUUGAGUGCAAGAGAGGAAAGUGGAAUUCCUAGUGUAGCGGUGAAAUGCGUAGAUAUUAGGAGGAACACCAGUAGCGAAGGCGGCUUUCUGGACUGUAACUGACACUGAGGCACGAAAGCGUGGGGAGCAAACAGGAUUAGAUACCCUGGUAGUCCACGCCGUAAACGAUGAUUACUAGGUGU